CUUCACAAUAAUUCUUGGCUGUCCAUAGCACUCAAAUAAAUCGAAAAGUUGACAAAAACAAAACAGUAAAAACAACAUUGCGGCUGGAUUUUGCUGAAUGAAAACUCGUUCUGCGCCCGCGUACAAUCUUUUACUAGUCAGCGACGCUUUUCAAUAGGGGAAUUUCUCGAGUUACACGAGGCUAUUUUCUAACUUUAUUUGCAUUUUACUCGUUAGUUUCAUCGGUGACCUAUCUUCAAAUUUUGACCACGAAUUUAUUUUGCGGUAAAUUUUAUAAAUUUCAAAUUUUAAAAAAAUCUGUAGUGUGGAAAUUUCGCAAUAAAUUUUUCGCUUUUAAAAGAAUCACAC